rnacentral:rRNA from 1 species
UGACGAGUGGCGAACGGGUGAGUAAUAUAUCGGAACGUGCCCAGUCGUGGGGGAUAACUGCUCGAAAGAGCAGCUAAUACCGCAUACGACCUGAGGGUGAAAGCGGGGGAUCGCAAGACCUCGCGCUGGAAGAGCGGCCGAUGUCCGAUUAGCUAGUUGGUGAGGUAAAGGCUCACCAAGGCGACGAUCGGUAGCUGGUCUGAGAGGACGACCAGCCACACUGGGACUGAGACACGGCCCAGACUCC